GACGAACGCUGGCGGCGUGCUUAACACAUGCAAGUCGAACGGAAAGGCCCUGCUUUUGUGGGGUGCUCGAGUGGCGAACGGGUGAGUAACACGUGAGUAACCUGCCCUUGACUUUGGGAUAACUUCAGGAAACUGGGGCUAAUACCGGAUAGGAGCUCCUGCUGCAUGGUGGGGGUUGGAAAGUUUCGGCGGUUGGGGAUGGACUCGCGGCUUAUCAGCUUGUUGGUGGGGUAGUGGCUUACCAAGGCUUUGACGGGUAGCCGGCCUGAGAGGGUGACCGGCCACAUUGGGACUGCGAUACGGCCCAGACUCCUACGGGAGGCAGCAGUGGGGAAUAUUGCACAAUGGGCGGAAGCCUGUUGCAGCAACGCCGCGUGCGGGAUGACGGCCUUCGGGUUGUAAACCGCUUUCGCCUGUGACGAAGCGUGAGUGACGGUAAUGGGUAAAGAAGCACCGGCUAACUACGUG
rnacentral:rRNA from 1 species